CCCUUAGAUGUUCUGGGCCGCACGCGCGCUACACUGAUGCAUUCAACGAGUCUAAAACCUGCUCUGAUAGGGGUGGGUAAUCUUUUGAAUGUGCAUCGCGAUUGGGAUAGAUGAUUGCAAUUUUUCAUCUUCAACGAGGAAUGCCUAGUAAACGCAAGUCAUCAGCUUGCAUUGAUUACGUCCCUGCCCUUUGUACACACCGCCCGUCGCUCCUACCGAUUGAAUGAUCCGAUGAAUAUCAUGGAUUGAGGAUUAUAGCAGGUUCGCCUGUCUUGAUCUUCGAGAAGUGAAGUAAAUCUUAUCAUUUAGAGGAAGGAGAAGUCGUAACA
rnacentral:rRNA from 1 species